rnacentral:lncRNA from 1 species
GCUGCCGUUUCCAUGCAGUACAGGCAGCGUGAUCAGAGCGCUAACACAACAGCCUGUGUAAUUACAUGUUUCUGCAAAGUGUGUUAGCUCCAUGGGGAGCUGAGUCCAUUUGGAGGGGAGGAGGAGGAAGAGACUUUCUUUGAGGGGGGGGGAUAAGGUGAAAAGGGUCAGUGAGUAACCCAGCUCUGGCUGGAAUAGGAUAAAGGUAAUUGUUACUCUCAAGUGAGCACCGGGUGGCUCUGGCUGCUCUCACUGCUCAUGUCUGUGCUGUGCAGGCGUCUGCUCUGCCGAGCAGGCGAGAAGAGAGGAGAGGUUUGACCCUGUUGGGAGCGGUACGUGGCGGGGUUUGACGUGGUUUCUGCGCCAGCAUCACCAGGGCAGGCAGGAAGAUGCAGAGUCAGGGGCACGGCACUUCUGUGCUGCCCAGGAUUUAUUUAGGUGCAGUAAGGGACCAUGGCAAUUAAGAACAAUUAAUGACAGUCUGCGAGCUGGGGCAGGGGGAGGAUGGCUUGGACCUAACCUGUCAUUGAGCCGUGGGCUCUGUGGAUGCUUUGCUGUGACGGAGGGCCGAGGGCUGACCAAGUCGUGGGGAGGAUUUGUAUGUAGGAAGAGAGGAGAUGGCUGUGCAGCGUGCUCCCGAAUCUGCUCUGAGCUUGCUGAUGGAAUCCCCCAAGUUGGAGAGAACCAGAGAGACAAUGGGGAGAAUCUGACAAUGUUGAUGCUGUUGAACAUUUGCAGGAGGGAGAGGAGCUGCUUUUUUCCACAAGUCCUUUAG